GACGAACGCUGGCGGCGUGCCUAACACAUGCAAGUCGAACGAAGCACUUCUUUAGAAGCAUUCGUGUGGAAGAAGAAAUGACUGAGUGGCGGACGGGUGAGUAACGCGUGAGUAACCUGCCCCAGAGAGCGGGAUAGCGUUUGGAAACGAACGGUAAUACCGCAUAAAGUAUUAGAUUCGCAUGGAUUUAAUACCAAAGAUUUAUCGCUCUGGGAUGGACUCGCGUUGGAUUAGAUAGUUGGUGGGGUAACGGCCUACCAAGUCAACGAUCCAUAGCCGGACUGAGAGGUUGAACGGCCACAUUGGGACUGAGACACGGCCCAGACUCCUACGGGAGGCAGCAGUGGGGGAUAUUGCGCAAUGGGCGAAAGCCUGACGCAGCGACGCCGCGUGAGGGAUGAAGGCCUUCGGGUCGUAAACCUCUGUCAGGAGGGAAGAAGUGCAUUCGUGCUAAUCAGCGAAUGUUUGACGGUACCUCCAAAGGAAGCACCGGCUAACUCCGUGCCAGCCGCCGCAGUAAGAC
rnacentral:rRNA from 1 species